UUCACCUCAUUUUCCAUCAUCCUUAUUCAUCAUCACUUUUAUUUCACCUUCGUCUCUUUUGGAAGACCUAGCAAUAGUCAAGCUAGUCUUCACCUCCCCUCUUUCUCUUCUUUACUUGUUUGACCGGAGGGUAGGCUGAACCUUGAGCCGUCGUGUCAGUCUUGUCAUCGAGCAGUAUUGUUGUCGUGCCGGUCUGAGUUACUGUGCACAUCUUGCUGCCGUGUCAGACUAGCCGUUGCACCAGACUGGCCAUCUUGUUAGUUCUGUCGUCGUGCCGGCCUGAGUUACCGUGCUCAUCUUGCUGCCGCGUUAAACUAACCAUUGUGCCAGAUUGGUCGGUGUUGAUUAUGUCGUUGAGUAAUAUUGUCGCCGUGCCGGUUUGAGUUACCAUGCACGUCAGGUCAGUCACUGUACUAGUCUAGCCACUGUGCCAGCCUAGCCGCACAGUCAAACUUCUUCUCUCACUUUCACUUCACCCUGUAAGAAGGUGGGGACAUAUACCCCACUUGUCUGUACUUUUUAUUGUGUGUGUGUUUGCAGGAAAGGAGAAACAGUUCUAGGGAGGCGAUUCCAAACCGGCCAUAAGCUAGGGGCUUUCCAAUAUGAUCUAAGAGGGCGCCCACGCGAGCCAAACCGAGUGUGUCACGGAUCCACGUGAGGUAAUGUGACGACCCAGACUUUUUACGACUGUGUUGCGAGAAGCAGCGCUAGUUGGGUUGAGGGCCAGCACCGGUCGGGUUGUGUGCUAGCACCGGUCAGGUUGUGUGUCAGCGCCAGUCGGGUUAUGUGCCAACGCCAGUCGGGUUGUCUACCAACGUUAGUCCGGUUGUGUGCCAGCACCGGUUGGCGUUGUGUGCAGUGCUGGCUAGGUUGUGUGCAGCGCCGGCUGAGAAGAGGAGAAAGUGCCAGCGUUGGCUAAGAAGAGGAGAAAGUGCCAACGCCGUCUGGGUUGUGUGCAGCACCGGCUGAGUAGAGACCGCAACUCCGGCUAUGUAGAUAAGCAGCGCCUGCUGUGUCUCUGACAUGCAUGAGUUAAGUAUGCCACUUGUUGAAUGCAUGUUGUUUGAGUGUCACUUAUUAAUAUUUUGAAGUCCUUUGGCGUCACUUGGGCAGCCACCCCACCCUUAAAAGUACUUAAGCUUCUUCUCUCACCCAUGCCACUCAUUCUCACUUCAUUUCUCUCUCUCAGACACAAGGUUGGAAGAAGCGGCUGUUGGAGGGCAGCCAUUGUUGGGUGGGUGAGAGCUGUGUGAAGAUGAUUAGAGAAAGAACCAUUAUUGUUUAGAGUGAAGGGUGGUGGCAUCUAUGCUCAAGGUCGGUGGCAGUUUGAGGGUUUGAAGCUCUGAAUUAAGAAGUUUGAGAAGCCGUCUUCCGAAGACCUUCACAGUAUGUUUUGGUGGUUUCAGCUAUAUGAUAUGUACUUCUUUUUAUGUAUUUUGGUCCAGUAGCGCCUCGAAGAAUUGUAAAGACUUUUGAUAAUGAAUGAUAGAAAUUGUUGUA